rnacentral:rRNA from 1 species
AUUGAACGCUGGCGGCAUGCCUAACACAUGCAAGUCGAACGGAAACACGAAGCCGCUUGCUGCUUCGCUGGCGAGUGGCGGACGGGUGAGUAACGGAUAGGAACAUGCCGACUGACGGGGGAUAACUGCUAGAAAGGGCAGCUAAUACCGCAUACCGCCUGAUGGUGAAAGUGGGGGAUCUUAGGACCUCGAGCUAUUCGAGCAGCCGAUGUCUGAUUAGCUGGUUGGUGGGGUAAAGGCCCACCAAGGCGACGAUCACUAGCGGGUCUGAGAGGAUGAACGGCCACACUGGAACGGAGACACGGCCCAGACUCCUCCGGGAGGCGGCAGUGGGGAAUUUUGGACAAUGGGCGCAAGCCUGACGCAGCCAUGCCGCGUGGAUGAGGAAGGCCUUCGGGUUGUAAAGUACGUUGGACGGGGAGGAAGAGUGUCAUGUUAAUACCUUGCCCCGGUGACGGUACCUGAAGAGAAAGCACCGGCUAACUACGUG